rnacentral:rRNA from 1 species
UACGUAGGGGGCAAGCGUUGUCCGGAUUUAUUGGGCGUAAAGAGCGUGUAGGCGGCCAUACAGGUCCGUUGUGAAAACUCGAGGCUUAACCUCGAGACGUCGAUGGAAACCGUAUGGCUAGAGUCCGGAAGAGGAGAGUGGAAUUCCUGGUGUAGCGGUGAAAUGCGCAGAUAUCAGGAAGAACACCCGUGGCGAAGGCGGCUCUCUGGGACGGUACUGACGCUGAGACGCGAAAGCGUGGGAGCGAACAGG